AGAACGAACGCUGGCGGCAGGCUUAACACAUGCAAGUCGAACGCGUGUAGCAAUACACGAGUGGCGCACGGGUGAGUAACGCGUGGAUAUCUGCCUUUUGGUUCGGAAUAACCCCGGGAAACUGGGGCUAAUACCGGAUGGUUCCUUCGGGAUAAAGAUUUAUCGCCAAAAGAUGAGUCCGCGUACGAUUAGCUAGUUGGUGAGGUAAUGGCUCACCAAGGCGACGAUCGUUAGCUGGUCUGAGAGGACGAUCAGCCACACUGGGACUGAGACACGGCCCAGACUCCUACGGGAGGCAGCAGUGGGGAAUAUUGGACAAUGGGGGCAACCCUGAUCCAGCCAUGCCGCGUGAGUGAUGAAGGCCUUCGGGUUGUAAAGCUCUUUUGGCGGGACGAUGAUGACGGUACCCGCAGAAUAAGCCCCGGCUAACUUCACGCCAGCAGCCGC
rnacentral:rRNA from 1 species